CUAGCAGCAUGGCCUAGCAAAGCCCACAAAACCUCAGUUGAUUAUUCCAGGAACACAGCUGUGGAACACCCCAGCCAUUAAGCAGCUACUCAACUUCUCUGGAAUUCAGACCCCUCCCUGCAACACUUGGGGCUCUUGGAGAUUCAUUUUCCAGUCCGCAAAGGGAAGAUCAAAAGAAAAACCGUAAGGAAAUGGACAGAUGUGGGAGAGCAUGACACCUGACAAACAGCUGUUAUGGUCCCAUCAGGAAACCCCUGUCAUUGUUUUCGGCCACCUACCCUUGUCCCAUCCACCAGGUGCUCCUGUGGCAGACAUACAAGUUCAGUCUACUGUUUUCUGAAAAGAACCCCGUGGCAUUUUAUGCAGCUCGGUAUUCCUCCUAGUCCAGAUGAUUGAAGAAUCAUCUUCUGGAGGUGGAAAGAGUUCAACACCACAACUUGCUUCUUUCCUUGUAAUGGACCCUGGCUGCACCGAAACUGCACUACACAUUUCUAAGUCUACGUUGGAAAGUUUGAAUACUUCACCAUAACUGCAUCCUAUCCCAAGGGACUGGAACCAAAUGACUGGAACCAACGGUGGCAGGUUUAUGAGGAACAGUGAUGAGAAAAGAGGCUGAGGUACUGAAUCUCGUAACAGCCAGAGAUUCGAAAGAUUAUUCACUAACGCAUUGUGAAAGCAGCGAGCUCUUGGCUGGUGAAAAAAGAAAUGAAUAUCCAUAUGACCUCAUCUGUACACACGGGCAGACUGGCCUACACUCGCCUAAUGGGGAGAGCAUCCCAAGCUUACCACGUUUGGCUAAUGCUGGAGUCUGUGCUGGAAAGACUGUACAGUAUCUCUGUGAGACCAGUGAGGACACACAUGAGGAGGAGCCUCCGGGAUGACUGACCAAUGUCUCCUCAUGAAUCAGUACUCUGACCUCUCCAUGAACGGGCUUUGAGCAUGGUAGAAUGCAACUAUUUAUUUUGGUCUGCUUAAAUAAACAGAA